rnacentral:rRNA from 1 species
CUUGACUCUAGUCUGGCACUGUAAGGAGACAUGAGAGGUGUAGCAUAAGUGGGAGGUCGGUCCAGUGCCGGCCGACGGUGAAAUACCACUACUUUCAUCGUUUCUUUACUUACUCGGUGAGGCGGAGGGCGCGCGUCGUUCCCCGUGUUCGGCGCGCGGUCUUCUGGAACCAAGUUCCGCCGGUCCAAUCCCCGGUGUCCCGAUCCGAUCCGAGGACACUGCCAGGCGGGGAGUUUGACUGGGGCGGUACAUCUGUCAAAGAAUAACGCAGGUGUCCUAAGGCCAGCUCAGCGAGGACAGAAACCUCGCGUGGAGCAAAAGGGCAAAAGCUGGCUUGAUCCCGAUGUCCAGUGAGCAUAGGGACUGCGAAAGCACGGCCCAUCGAUCCUUUUGGCUUGGAGAGUUUCCAGCAAGAGGUGUCAGAAAAGUUACCACAGGGA